AGAGUUUGAUCCUGGCUCAGAACGAACGCUGGCGGCGUGGAUAAGACAUGCAAGUCGAACGCCUAUUUCAGGGUAGCAAUAUUCUGGAGUGGGAGUGGCGUAAGGGUGCGUAACAUGUGGGUAAUCUGCCGUGAAGUUUGGGAUAACUUGCUGAAAGGCGAGCUAAUACCGGAUGUGAACGCUAGGAGGCAUCUUCUGGCUUUCAAAGUUGGGGACCGUAAGGCCUGACGCUUCAUGAUGAGCCCGCAACCUAUCAGCUAGUUGGUGAGGUAACGGCUUACCAAGGCUAAGACGGGUAGCUGGUCUGAGAGGACGACCAGCCACACUGGAACUGAGACACGGUCCAGACACCUACGGGUGGCAGCAGCCGAGAAUUUUUCACAAUGGGCGAAAGCCUGAUGGAGCGACGCCGCGUGGGGGAUGAAGGGCUUCGGUCCGUAAACCCCGGUCAUUUGUGAACAAUGCUUACGACCUAAUACGUCGUGAGUUGAUAGAGCGAAAGAGAAAGGACG
rnacentral:rRNA from 1 species